rnacentral:rRNA from 1 species
GUAAUGCAUCGGAACGUACCCAUUUGUGGGGGAUAACUAUCCGAAAGGAUAGCUAAUACCGCAUAAGUCCUGAGGGAGAAAGCAGGGGAUCGCAAGACCUUGCGCGAAUGGAGCGGCCGAUGCCGGAUUAGCUAGUUGGUAGGGUAAAGGCCUACCAAGGCGACGAUCCGUAGCUGGUCUGAGAGGAUGAUCAGCCACACUGGAACUGAGACACGGUCCAGACUCCUACGGGAGGCAGCAGUGGGGAAUUUUGGACAAUGGGGGCAACCCUGAUCCAGCCAUUCCGCGUGAGUGAAGAAGGCCUUCGGGUUGUAAAGCUCUUUCGGCAGGAACGAAACGGUGGGGGCUAAUACCCUCCGCUAAUGAUGGUACCUGAAGAAGAAGCACCGGCUAACUACGUGCCAGCAGCCGCGGUAAUACGUAGGGUGCGAGCGUUAAUCGGAAUUACUGGGCGUAAAGCGUGCGCAGGCGGUUCUAUAAGACAGAUGUGAAAUCCCCGGGCUUAACCUGGGAACUGCGUUUGUGACUGUAGGACUCGAGUGUGGCAGAGGGGGGUGGAAUUCCACGUGUAGCAGUGAAAUGCGUAGAGAUGUGGAGGAACACCGAUGGCGAAGGCAGCCCCCUGGGUCAACACUGACGCUCAUGCACGAAAGCGUGGGUAGCAAACAGGAUUAGAUACCCUGGUAGUCCACGCCCUAAACGAUGCGAACUAGGUGUUGGGGAAGGAGACUUUCUUAGUACCGCAGCUAACGCGUGAAGUUCGCCGCCUGGGGAGUACGGUCGCAAGAUUAAAACUCAAAGGAAUUGACGGGGACCCGCACAAGCGGUGGAUGAUGUGGAUUAAUUCGAUGCAACGCGAAAAACCUUACCUACCCUUGACAUGCCAGGAACUUGCCAGAGAUGGCUUGGUGCCCGAAAGGGAGCCUGGACACAGGUGCUGCAUGGCUGUCGUCAGCUCGUGUCGUGAGAUGUUGGGUUAAGUCCCGCAACGAGCGCAACCCUUGUCAUUAGUUGCCAUCAUUUAGUUGGGCACUCUAAUGAGACUGCCAGUGACAAACCGGAGGAAGGUGGGGAUGACGUCAAGUCCUCAUGGCCCUUAUGGGUAGGGCUUCACACGUCAUACAAUGGUCGGUACAGAGGGUUGCCAAGCCGCGAGGUGGAUCCAAUCCCAGAAAGCCGAUCGUAGUCCGGAUCGGAGUCUGCAACUCGACUCCGUGAAGUCGGAAUCGCUAGUAAUCGUGGAUCAGCAUGUCACGGUGAAUACGUUCCCGGGUCUUGUACACACCGCCCGUCACACCAUGGGAGUGGGUUUCACCAGAAGUAGGUAGCCUAACCGCAAGGGGGGCGCUUACCACGGUGGGAUUCAUGACUGGGGUGAAGUCGUAACAAGGUA